AGAGUAAUGCCAUGGUAAGGCAUAAGUCAUCGGUUCAAAUCCGAUAAAGGGCU
rnacentral:tRNA from 2 species